rnacentral:rRNA from 1 species
GACGAACGCUGGCGGCGUGCUUAACACAUGCAAGUCGAACGGAAAGGCUCCAGCUUGCUGGAGUACUCGAGUGGCGAACGGGUGAGUAACACGUGGGUAAUCUGCCCUGCACUCUGUGAUAAGCCUGGGAAACUGGGUCUAAUACUGGAUAUGACCUUUCUCCUUAUGGGGUUUGGUGGAAAGUUUUUCGGUGUAGGAUGAGCCCGCGGCCUAUCAGCUUGUUGGUGGGGUGAUGGCCUACCAAGGCGACGACGGGUAGCCGGCCUGAGAGGGUGAUCGGCCACAUUGGGACUGAGAUACGGCCCAGACUCCUACGGGAGGCAGCAGUGGGGAGUAUUGCACAAUGGGCGGAAGCCUGAUGCAGCGACGCCGCGUGAGGGAUGACGGCCUUCGGGUUGUAAACCUCUUUCAGCAGGGACGAAGCGUAAGUGACGGUACCUGCAGAAGAAGCACCGGCUAACUACGUG